rnacentral:tRNA from 1 species
CCCCCGAUAGCUCAGUUGGAAGAGCGCGAGACUGUAAUGGAUAUGUCGAGAUCAUCUUGAGGUCGCUGGUUCGAUCCCGGCUCGGGGGA